AUGGAAUGAUGGGGACACUUUUUCAAUGACUCCUUGAAUCGUUCCUAAGCUUCAAAGAAGGGCUCUGUAUCAAAUUGUGUAAAGGACAUUAUCUCGUGUAUGAGUUU